rnacentral:rRNA from 1 species
AACGAACGCUGGCGGCAUGCCUAACACAUGCAAGUCGAACGAGACCUUCGGGUCUAGUGGCGCACGGGUGCGUAACGCGUGGGAACCUGCCCUUAGGUUCGGAAUAACUCCCCGAAAGGGGUGCUAAUACCGGAUAAUGUCUUCGGACCAAAGAUUUAUCGCAUUUGGAUGGGCCCGCGUUGGAUUAGCUAGUUGGUAGGGUAAAAGCCUACCAAGGCGACGAUCCAUAGCUGGUCUGAGAGGAUGAUCAGCCACACUGGGACUGAGACACGGCCCAGACCCCACCGGAGGGAAGCGGGGGGAAAGAUGGGAAAGGGGGCGAAGGUGUGACCCAUCAACGCCGGGGGAGAAAGGAAGCCUGUGGGGUUGAAAAGCUUUUUACCCCGGGAUAAUAAUGACAGUCCCGGAAAAAAAAGCCCCGGCAACCUCCGUC